rnacentral:piRNA from 1 species
UGUGUGGAUUCAGGAAGCCCGGGGUUCAU